AUUGAACGCUGGCGGCAGGCCUAACACAUGAAAGUCGAACGAGUGGCGGCCGGGUGAGUACUGUCUGGGAAACUGCCUGAUGGCGGGGGAUAACUAAUGGAAACGGUAGCUAAUACCUCAUACAAUCCGAUGUGCUCAGAUGGGAUUAGCUAGUAGGGGGGGUACCGGCUCACCAAGGCGACGAUCCCUAGCUGGUCUGAGAGGAUGACCAGCCACACUGGAACUGAGACAAUGUCCAACCUCCUACGUGAGUCAGCAGUAGGGAAUAUUGCACGAUGGGGUCAAGCCUGAUGCAGCCAUGCCGCGUGUAUGAGGAAGGCCUUCGUGUUGUAAAGUACUUGCAGCGGGGAGGCGUUACCAGCAGAAGAAGCACCGGCGAACUCCGUGCCAGCAGCCGCGGUAAUUC
rnacentral:rRNA from 1 species